AAGUCACAACUAUACAAGACACUACUAAUAUAUCCAAAUUCAACAAAGAAGUAAGGCACGCGCCCUGCACUACAAGACAGAUAGGAUCCAUAGACAUAAUUUACCUAGUGAAAACCCUGUCUCUCUCAAAAACUAGAUCUCUUCCUUUUCUUUCACUCUGACCUGCCAUGCUUUCAUUCCGAUGUCGCUAUUAACAGGACUCGAGCCCAGGCAUACUAUAAUUAAAGUACAAAUCCAAGGCAAGGAAGGGAACCGGGGGAUAUCGGAACUGACCCCACACUAGAAAGAAUGGAACUAAAGGCAAACAGGCUUGAGCUCCAGGACUAUUAGAACAGAACUAGGGCAUAUGAUACUGCCGCUGUUGCUGACAGGACUUGGGAGCUACUGCUUCUAAUACAAAAACAGAGAAAUAGGGCUUGAA
rnacentral:lncRNA from 1 species